rnacentral:rRNA from 1 species
AUAUUGGUCAAUGGGCGAGAGCCUGAACCAGCCAAGUAGCGUGAAGGAUGACGGCCCUACGGGUUGUAAACUUCUUUUGUGCGGGAAUAAAGGAGCCUACGUGUAGGCUUUUGCAUGUACCGUAACGAAUAAGCAUCGGCUAACUCCGUGCCAGCAGCCGCGGUAAUACGGAGGAUGCGAGCGUUAUCCGGAUUUAUUGGGUUUAAAGGGAGCGUAGACGGGUUUUUAAGUCAGCUGUGAAAGUUUGGGGCUCAACCUUAAAAUUGCAGUUGAAACUGGAGACCUUGAGUACGGUUGAGGCAGGCGGAAUUCGUGGUGUAGCGGUGAAAUGCUUAGAUAUCACGAAGAACCCCGAUUGCGAAGGCAGCCUGCUAAGCCGCCACUGACGUUGAGGCUCGAAAGUGCGGGUAUCAAACAGGAUUAGAUACCCUGGUAGUCCGCACGGUAAACGAUGGAUACUCGCUGUUGGCGAUAGACGGUCAGCGGCCAAGCGAAAGCGUUAAGUAUCCCACCUGGGGAGUACGCCGGCAACGGUGAAACUCAAAGGAAUUGACGGGGGCCCGCACAAGCGGAGGAACAUGUGGUUUAAUUCGAUGAUACGCGAGGAACCUUACCCGGGCUUGAACUGCAGUGGAAUUAUCCGGAAACGGAUAAGCGAGCAAUCGCCGCUGUGGAGGUGCUGCAUGGUUGUCGUCAGCUCGUGCCGUGAGGUGUCGGCUUAA